rnacentral:rRNA from 1 species
GGCAGCGGAACUCCAUGUGUAGCGGUGGAAUGCGUAGAUAUAUGGAAGACACCAGUUGCCGAAGGCGGCCGCCUGGACUGUUGCUGACGCUCAGGCACGAAAGCGUGGGGAGCAAAUAGGAUUAGAUACCCUAGUAGUCCACGCCCUAAACGAUGAGGAGCAGGUGUCGGGGGUAGAGCCCCGGUGCCGAAGCCAACGCAGUGACUCCUCCGCCUGGGGAGUAUGCACGCAAGUGUGAAACUCAAAGGAAUUGACGGGGGCCCGCACAAGCGGUGGAGUAUGUGGUUUAAUUCGAAGCAACGCGAAGAACCUUACCAGGCCUUGACAUGGGAUGCGAAGGUGCAGAGAUGCACUGGAGGUUAUCAUCCACACAGGUGGUGAAUGAAAAAACGUCAGCUCGUGUCGUGAGAUGUUCAGUUAAGUCUGGCAACGAGCGCAACCCUCGUGAUAUGUUGCUAACAUUCAGUUGAGGACUCAUAUCAGACUGCCGGUACAAACCGGAGGAAGGUGGGGAUGACGUCAAAUCAUCAUGCCCCUUAUGGCCUGGGCUACACACGUACUACAAUGGCAUCUACAAAGGGAAGCGAACCUGUGAAGGGAAGCGAACCCCACAAAAGAUGUCCCAGUUCGGAUUGAAGUCUGCAACCCGACUUCAUGAAGUUGGAAUCGCUAGUAAUCGCAGAUCAGCAUGCUCGUGAAUACGUUCCCGGGCCUUGUACACA